AAAAUUAUGAAAAUGUUCUAAAUUGGAAUCGAAGUUUAUUGUCGCGUGUAUCAAAAAUCCAUGAGCAUCAUGUGGCACAUGUGCCUCUUGUUCCAACUCAGGCUUCUUUUUGGGCACAUAGGGAUUAUGCUCCGGAUCCGCAUUUAAGCUGAGUAUUAAUUAAGCAAUGUCGCAGGCAAAUUCUUUCUGAUUGAAUAUAGUGCCGUUUGUGCAGAGGAACGAGGCGCCCUGGUGUCCCUCCCGACCG